rnacentral:rRNA from 1 species
CUGAACCAGCCAAGUAGCGUGAAGGAAGACUGCCCUCUGGGUUGUAAACUUCUUUAAUACGGGAAUAAAGUCAUCCACAUGUGGAUGUCUGUAUGUACCGUAUGAAUAAGGAUCGGCUAACUCCGUGCCAGCAGCCGCGGUAAUACGGAGGAUGCGAGCGUUAUCCGGAUUUAUUGGGUUUAAAGGGAGCGCAGACGGGAGAUUAAGUCAGUUGUGAAAGUUUGCGG